rnacentral:rRNA from 1 species
GCGCAACCCUUAUCCUUUGUUGCCAGCGAUUAGGUCGGGAACUCAAAGGAGACUGCCAGUGAUAAACUGGAGGAAGGUGGGGAUGACGUCAAGUCAUCAUGGCCCUUACGACCAGGGCUACACACGUGCUACAAUGGCGCAUACAAAGAGAAGCGACCUCGCGAGAGCAAGCGGACCUCAUAAAGUGCGUCGUAGUCCGGAUUGGAGUCUGCAACUCGACUCCAUGAAGUCGGAAUCGCUAGUAAUCGUGGAUCAGAAUGCCACGGUGAAUACGUUCCCGGGCCUUGUACACACCGCCCGUCACACCAUGGGAGUGGGUUGCAAAAGAAGUAGGUAGCUUAACCUUCGGGAGGGCGCUUACCACUUUGUGAUUCAUGACUGGGGUGAAGUCGUAACAAGGUAACCGUAGGGGAACCUGCGGUUGGAUCACCUCCUUACCUUAAAGAA